AAAUGCAUUAUUCAUUUAUACUUCUUAAUUUCUUUAUUUUAUUUAUAUGCGUAUAUUUUUUUAGGAAAUUGGA
rnacentral:tRNA from 1 species